GAACGUGGGACAGCAGGGGGGACACGGGGGAGGCUCUCGGAGGGCAGUUUCCAUUUUAGGCGUCUCUUCUCCACGUCUGGCUGGGACAGCCGUCCCCGCCUGGAGGGCCCCGGACGGGGCGCCGUCCUCCGCCUGUGUGUGGCGAGGCUGUGCCUCGGGGCUCACGGUCCCUUUCUCUCCUGCAGCCCCCCUCUUUGUAAGUCCCCACCCUUGCCCAGUGCCCUACCCUACCUGUCCCCAGCACCCCUGCAAAGUGGGAAUGGGAACGACAGGACCUUCCCUUGGUUUGUAUCCAAGGCUGCCACGUUCAGCAUUGUAGCCUGGGGCUGUGUUUUUCUUCUUCUUCUUCUCAUACUUCCUGUAUGAGGUUAGUUUUUUUAAAAUGAUAAACAAACUAUUUUUUUAAAACUUUUUUUUUUUGACCUGGUCAUGUGUUGCCAGCUACCUAUCCGUCUGUGAGCCUUCAGCUGUCAGCCCCCUACCUGUUCACCACCGGGAGUGAGCGGGGCUCCAAAGCAGAGGGGGUCUGUGCUCCCCUCUCCUCUCAGAGUGGCAGUCAGGUAAAGGCAUGCUCUAGUCUCCUAUUUGAGAGCAACACCAAUAGACAUCAUGGCUCAAGGAUUCUCCCCAGGCAGAGAGCGUGGGGGAGAGGAAGGCUAUGUGUGGGAGGAGAGGGCUUGGCCAGGAAAGAGAUGUGAUGUGGUGGGGGAUUCCCGGGUACAGGUGUAGAAUCCCACGGUGUCAGUCCCACGCUCUGCAGAUGCACAGCGUCUGGGAAAGAGGAUUAUGGAAUGAGCUGUGCCGGCCUUUCUUCCCAGGUCACCCCAGACCGUGCUGCCAGUCUCAGCUGGCUUCGGGGCUGCCGGUUCUCUCCUCCCACUGCGGCGUGUCAGGGCAGAGCCAUCCCGUGAGGAGCCUGGGGACAGCUGACCAAACAGAGAGCAUCAGUAGACAGCUGAGCUGCCAUGGUCAUGGUCGUGGUCAUGAGCCCACAGCCCAGGAUCACUUGCCAUUGGUCUGA
rnacentral:lncRNA from 1 species